rnacentral:lncRNA from 1 species
GAGAUGGAGUCUCCCUCUCUUGCCCAGGUGAUCUGUCUCGUGAUUCGCCUGCCUCGGCCUCCCAAAGUGCUGGGAUGACAGGCGUGAGCCACUGAGCCCGGCCCGUGUUUUUUUUUUUUAAGACAGAAUGUUGCCAGGUACAGUGGCUCAAGCCUGUAAUUCCAGGAUUUUGAGAGGCUACGCUGUAUGGGUUAGUGUGAGUUCUUUCUAUAUUUGUACAAUGACAGAAUCACCUGAUGUUAAGUGUUGCAUGACUGUAACAGUUCCCACUCUGUACCAUGUCUCUUCUAGGCCAAAGCCCCCUCCCCAGAGCAGACCCCUAGCACUCCACAGCAGGAUCACAAGCUGGUCUCUGGUCCCAGACCCUGCGGAUCCUUGUCGACGCUUCCAGUCUCGAUCACUUCCCGAUGGUUUGAAUGUGAAGUCAACAAUCCACGGAACAAUUUGCACUUACUGUUUCUAGGGCUUUUGCAGUUAAAAUGUCUUCAGUUUCCCCGAUCUUCCUGCAGAUGCCCCUGCAGUCAGAAGCUGAGUCUGUCCCUUCUCCCAGCAGCAGCUGGG